rnacentral:misc_RNA from 1 species
AUGAGUGGUGUUUGGUUUGAUACGGGUGGUCGGCUCCCUGCUUGUGCAGGCACGGCCAUGCGUGCAUUCCUUUUCAGAUGUACGACAAGACUUUCAUUGCCUUGAUCGUAAGUUGGUUUCCUGUGUUGCGUACCUGAUCAAUGGKAUUGUUUCGAUAGAAAGCGUCCCCUCUUCGUCUUGCGAUGCUCCGGCAUUGUUAGAUGAACCGCGUAGCAUCUUUUUCGAUCCAUACAUUUGACGUGUAAAUCGUUGGUGGUGUGGGUCGUUGAAGGUGUGUUCGUGUNUCGGAUAUGGAAGCCAAAGUAGGCAUGGGUCUGAAAAAUCCAUUUGUUGCCUUUAUUGAGCGGUUGUCGCUUCUCUCACACGACUGCCUUUCACGUAUGGCACGUCCCAGCGUGUUUGGCUAUGUCGAAGAGGAA